GAGCUGAGAUCUAGAGAGAGAGGUUAGAGCAUUUGCUCUCAUGGGAUCAACCGCUAGGCUGUGGCCAUCAGGCAACAUGUACAGAGGUCGCCCCAGUUGCAGACCAUGCACAUUCCCGGCCUAAGGCGUAACCUGCAUGAUGGAGGCCCUAGGACAGCUUUAACUGGCUCAGGGGUUUCCCAGGAGUUCGAACCAACUUUAGCCCUCAGCACAGGUUCGCACAGCAUGUUCCUGUGCCCUUUGCUACCUCACUUACAAUGCACAUGCUUUCCGACUUCUGUUAACUGAGUGUAGCAAUAAGCCGAACCAAUUCCUGCGCAUAACAAAUAACAUCAGUAAAGAUGCAAAGAUCAAUCCUGCGUUCCUAAAGGAGUUUCAACUGCAGCAAAGGAUGAGACUUCCAUCCUUAAGGGAAAGAGCACUGACAGAAAGCAAGACCUAAAAUCCAGCCAAGAGAUUCCCUGACUUUAUUACCUCCAGUGACGAACGUCAAGGAGCUCUUCAGAACAACACACAAGGCCAAUAUUUCCCACAACACUUUUUUUAUUUUCAUCUGGAGUUUCAUCAGAUAUCAUAAAUGUAUCAAGACCAAGAAUAGCGUUUUUGAACAAACUUGGGAAAGAUGAACAGAACGCCA
rnacentral:lncRNA from 1 species